GGAAAGUCGCACGGUACAGGGUGAUAGUCCCGUACACAAAAAUGCAUAUGUUGUGAGUUCGAUGAGUAGGGCGGGACACGUGACAUCCUGUCUGAAUAUGGGGGGACCAUCCUCCAAGGCUAAAUACUCCUGACUGACCGAUAGUGAACCAGUACCGUGAGGGAAAGGCGAAAAGAACCCCGGCGAGGGGAGUGAAAUAGAACCUGAAACCGUGUACGUACAAGCAGUGGGAGCACCUUCGUGGUGUGACUGCGUACCUUUUGUAUAAUGGGUCAGCGACUUAUAUUUUGUAGCAAGGUUAACCGAAUAGGGGAGCCGUAGGGAAACCGAGUCUUAACUGGGCGAAUAGUUGCAAGGUAUAGACCCGAAACCCGGUGAUCUAGCCAUGGGCAGGUUGAAGGUUGGGUAACACUAACUGGAGGACCGAACCGACUAAUGUUGAAAAAUUAGCGGAUGACUUGUGGCUGGGGGUGAAAGGCCAAUCAAACCGGGAGAUAGCUGGUUCUCCCCGAAAGCUAUUUAGGUAGCGCCUCGUGAACUCAUCUUCGGGGGUAGAGCACUGUUUCGGCUAGGGGGUCAUCCCGACUUACCAAACCGAUGCAAACUCCGAAUACCGAAGAAUGUUAUCACGGGAGACACACGGCGGGUGCUAACGUCCGUCGUGAAGAGGGAAACAACCCAGACCGCCAGCUAAGGUCCCAAAGUCAUGGUUAAGUGGGAAACGAUGUGGGAAGGCAUAGACAGCCAGGAUGUUGGCUUAGAAGCAGCCAUCAUUUAAAGAAAGCGUAAUAGCUCACUGGUCGAGUCGGCCUGCGCGGAAGAUGUAACGGGGCUAAACCAUG
rnacentral:rRNA from 1 species